rnacentral:rRNA from 1 species
UUGAACGCUGGCGGUAUGCUUAACACAUGCAAGUCGAACGGAAACGAUACUAGCUUGCUAGUAGGCGUCGAGUGGCGGACGGGUGAGUAACGCGUAGGAAUCUGCCUGAUAGUGGGGGAUAGCCCGAAGAAAUUCGGAUUAAUACCGCAUAAUCUAUUCGUAGUAAAGUGGGGGACUUUCGAGCCUCACGCUAUCAGAUGAGCCUGCGUAAGAUUAGCUUGUUGGUAGGGUAAAAGCCUACCAAGGCGACGAUCUUUAGCUGGUCUGAGAGGAUGAUCAGCCACAUCGGGACUGAGACACGGCCCGAACUCCUACGGGAGGCAGCAGUGGGGAAUAUUGGACAAUGGGGGCAACCCUGAUCCAGCAAUACCGCGUGUGUGAAGAAGGCCUGAGGGUUGUAAAGCACUUUCAAUUGUGAAGAAAAGUUAGCGGUUAAUAACCGUUAGCCUUGACGUUAACUUUAGAAGAAGCACCGGCUAACUCCGUGCCAGCAGCCGCGGUAAUACGGAGGGUGCAAGCGUUAAUCGGAAUUACUGGGCGUAAAGCGUGCGUAGGCGGUUUAUUAAGUCAGAUGUGAAAGCCCCGGGCUUAACCUGGGAACUGCAUUUGAAACUGGUCAACUAGAGUAUGGUAGAGGAAAGUGGAAUUUCUGGUGUAGCGGUGAAAUGCGUAGAUAUCAGAAGGAACAUCAAUGGCGAAGGCAGCUUUCUGGACCAAUACUGACGCUGAGGUACGAAAGCGUGGGUAGCAAACAGGAUUAGAUACCCUGGUAGUCCACGCCGUAAACGAUGAUAACUAGCCGUUGGGGGGAUUUACCCCUUAGUGGCGAAGCUAACGCGUUAAGUUAUCCGCCUGGGGAGUACGGCCGCAAGGUUAAAACUCAAAGGAAUUGACGGGGACCCGCACAAGCGGUGGAGCAUGUGGUUUAAUUCGAUGCAACGCGAAGAACCUUACCUGGUCUUGACAUCCUGCGAACUUUCUAGAAAUAGAUUGGUGCCUUCGGGAACGCAGUGACAGGUGCUGCAUGGCUGUCGUCAGCUCGUGUCGUGAGGUGUUGGGUUAAGUCCCGUAACGAGCGCAACCCCUAUCCUUAUUUGCCAGCACAUCAUGGUGGGAACUAUAAGGAGACUGCCGGUGAUAAACCGGAGGAAGGCGGGGACGACGUCAAGUCAUCAUGGCCCUUACGACCAGGGCUACACACGUGCUACAAUGGGAAGGACAAAGAGCCGCGAAGCCGCGAGGUGUAGCUAAUCUCAUAAACCUUUUCGUAGUCCGGAUUGGAGUCUGCAACUCGACUCCAUGAAGUCGGAAUCGCUAGUAAUCGUAGAUCAGAAUGCUACGGUGAAUACGUUCCCGGGUCUUGUACACACCGC